GAGUUUGAUCCUGGCUCAGGAUGAACGCUGGCGGCGUGCUUAACACAUGCAAGUCGAACGAAGCGCCUUAUUUGAUUUUCUUCGGAACUGAAGAUUUGGUGACUGAGUGGCGGACGGGUGAGUAACGCGUGGGUAACCUGCCCUGUACAGGGGGAUAACAAUCAGAAAUGACUGCUAAUACCGCAUAAGACCACAGCACCGCAUGGUGCAGGGGUAAAAACUCCGGUGGUACAGGAUGGACCCGCGUCUGAUUAGCUGGUUGGUGAGGUAACGGCUCACCAAGGCGACGAUCAGUAGCCGGCUUGAGAGAGUGAACGGCCACAUUGGGACUGAGACACGGCCCAAACUCCUACGGGAGGCAGCAGUGGGGAAUAUUGCACAAUGGGGGAAACCCUGAUGCAGCAACGCCGCGUGAGUGAAGAAGUAUUUCGGUAUGUAAAGCUCUAUCAGCAGGGAAGAAAGUGACGGUACCUGACUAAGAAGCCCCGGCUAACUACGUGCCAGCAGCCGCCGUAAGACCG
rnacentral:rRNA from 1 species